rnacentral:rRNA from 1 species
CAGCCGUAAACUAUGCGCGUUAGGUGUAUCGGUGACCACGAGUUACCGAGGUGCCGAAGGGAAACCGUGAAACGUGCCGCCUGGGAAGUACGGUCGCAAGGCUGAAACUUAAAGGAAUUGGCGGGGGAGCACCACAACAGGUGGAGCCUGCGGUUAAUUGGAUUCAACGCCGGACAUCUCACCGGAUAAGACAGCUGAAUGAUUGUCAAUCUGAAGGUUUUACAUGACUAGCUGAGAGGAGGUGCAUGGCGUCAGUGACU